GAAGUGGCCAUGUUCCCAAUAUUCCAUAUGAUUUUUAUGUAAGCUAGGGUAUAAAUAAGAAGGAGAGAGAAGCCUCUUCUCCGUUCUCUUCUGGUGGAUCUGAAGGCACAGGUUCUUUGCUGUUGGUCCUGCUCAUGUGGGGGAGCGAGGCCUAGUGAGGCCUAGUGAGGCCUAGUGAGGCCUUGUAGGCCUCAGGAGGCGGAGGGUGCCAGCGGUGCUUGGCGUGAUUCUGCUGAGUCAAGGAGAGUAGUAAGAUUUUCUUUUACUAGUUCUUUAUUGAUUGUGCAUACCUGUUUCGGGUUUCUUUUGUGGUUUUUGUCCCUUUUCCCUUUCCCUUCCCCUUUGGGGGCGGUUGUUUGGAGUUCUCUUUUUAUAUGUACACAGUGUUGUAACUGUAUAUAACUGUGAUAUAUGUAAAUAUAUGUAUUUUGCUAUAGCUCGGUUAGUUUCUGGUCUUUCAGUUUGUAUAGCUUUUUUUCCUUUGCCCAAAGGGGAGGGGGAGGUUUUUGCUGUAGUCUGAGGGACUUGGUGUGAAGCCAACUCCAAACGGCUACAACAUUUCUACCAAAGAAACUCAUUUGCAGCUGAAACACAACACGAAGCCUGCCCUGUGCUCCCCUGGACUGAAGCUGAUCCAGGAGAGCUCAUGGAGCAAAUCCACAGCACUCAGACUAUGAACUACACAGAGAAGAAAAGGAUAAACCCAUGGAGGGAACUGGUGCUACAAAUGGUGCUGGGGGUCCCCUGACAAUGGGAUUUCUGCCUCCCCACCGUUCUGCAAGCAGCACACGCUGAGGGUGAAGCGUUCAGAGGGCAAGAAAAGCACUUUGGGCCUGUCCCUGCCUGCUGAGCCCAUAUGUCCACUGGGAAGAGAUUGGCAGAGAUCCCUGAGGAGAAGUAAUUACAGGAGACAGGAGCAGUCCAGCACCGAGGGGGAGUCAUUUCUGCACUGCCCAGGUCCAGGUGCCAGAAAACUGAAGGUCACCCUUGGUUGGACUGGAGCAGGAUCACCUGUGACUUCAGGAAAUAUGGGAUUAUCCCCUCUUGGACCAGGUGGGAGGCAGGGACACCCUGUGGCCAGGGAGAGCUUUCAGCACAACAUUUAUCUGCGGUUGAUGGAUCACUGAGCGCUCACAGCUGAGGGAAACGAACAUCAAAGAUCUCCAGUGAAUUAUUUUAAUGGUUG